rnacentral:rRNA from 1 species
UACGUAGGGUGCGAGCGUUGUCCGGAAUUAUUGGGCGUAAAGAGCUUGUAGGCGGUUUGUCGCGUCUGCUGUGAAAAUCCGGGGCUCAACCCCGGACUUGCAGUGGGUACGGGCAGACUAGAGUGUGGUAGGGGAGACUGGAAUUCCUGGUGUAGCGGUGGAAUGCGCAGAUAUCAGGAGGAACACCAGUGGCGAAGGCGGUGGUCUGGGCCGGAACUGACGCUGAGGAGCGAAAGCGUGGGUAGCAAACAGG